UUGAUCAUGGCUCAGGACGAACGCUGGCGGCGUGCUUAACACAUGCAAGUCGAGCGGUAAGGCCCUUUCGGGGGUACACGAGCGGCGAACGGGUGAGUAACACGUGGGUAACCUGCCCUCAGCUCUGGGAUAAGCCCGGGAAACUGGGUCUAAUACCGGAUAUGACUCCGCAUCGCAUGGUGUGGGGUGGAAAGCCUUGUGCGGCUGAGGAUGGGCCCGCGGCCUAUCAGCUUGUUGGUGGGGUAGUGGCCUACCAAGGCGACGACGGGUAGCCGGCCUGAGAGGGCGACCGGCCACACUGGGACUGAGACACGGCCCAGACUCCUACGGGAGGCAGCAGUGGGGAAUAUUGCGCAAUGGGCGAAAGCCUGACGCAGCGACGCCGCGUGAGGGAUGACGGCCUUCGGGUUGUAAACCUCUUUCAGCUCCGACGAAGCCUUCGGGUGACGGUAGGGGCAGAAGAAGCACCGGCCAACUACGUGCCAGCAGCCGCGGUAAUACGUAGGGUGCAAGCGUUGUCCGGAAUUAUUGGGCGUAAAGAGCUCGUAGGCGGUUUGUCGCGUCGACUGUGAAAACUCAGGGGCUCAACUCCGAGCUUGCAGUUGAUACGGGCAGACUAGAGUUCGGCAGGGGAGACUGGCAAUUCCUGGUGUAGCGGUGAAAUGCGCAGAUAUCAGGAGGAACACCGGUGGCGAAGGCGGGUCUCUGGG
rnacentral:rRNA from 1 species